AAGGUCGUAACAAGGUUUCCGUAGGUGGACCUGCGGAAGGAUCAUUACAAAGUAAAUGCUGGUAGGAAGUGGGGUUCUUGAUCUGUAAGGUGGUAGAGCAAAUCAGUCCGGCUGCCUCCCAGAAAGUGUCUUACAUGUCCCCCCGACAGCCUGAAUGGCCGAAUUUGACAACCCUUGAUUAUCUACACUUGUUGCUUUCGGGGAUGCUCAAGUGCCCCGAGAGGACCCAACUCUCUUGCAUUUUCAGUGACGUCUGAGUACUAUAUAAUAUUUUGAAAAG
rnacentral:misc_RNA from 1 species